CACACCGCCCGUCACACCAUGGGAGUUGGUUUUACCCGAAGCCGGUGCGCUAACCCUGGAGCAAUCUGGGGGGGCAGCCGACCACGGUAAGGUCAGCGACUGGGGUG
rnacentral:rRNA from 1 species